rnacentral:rRNA from 1 species
GACGAACGCUGGCGGCGUGCUUAACACAUGCAAGUCGAGCGGUAAGGCCCUUUCGGGGGUACGACGAGCGGCGAACGGGUGAGUAACACGUGGGUGACCUGCCCUCAGCUCUGGGAUAAGCCUGGGAAACCGGGUCUAAUACCGGAUAUGACUCCAUGACGCAUGUUGUGGGGUGGAAAGCCUUGUGCGGCUGAGGAUGGGCCCGCGGCCUAUCAGCUUGUUGGUGGGGUGAUGGCCUACCAAGGCGACGACGGGUAGCCGGCCUGAGAGGGCGACCGGCCACACUGGGGACUGAGACACGGCCCAGACUCCUACGGGAGGCAGCAGUGGGGAAUCUUGCGCAAUGGGCG